rnacentral:rRNA from 1 species
AGCCAGCAGCCGCGGUAAUACAUGGGGGGCGAGCGUUGUCCGGAUUUAUUGGGCGUAAAGCGUGUGUAGGCGGUUUAUUAAGUCUAAGGUCAAAUACUGAAGCUUAACUUCAGUUCGCCUUGGAAACUGAUAGACUUGAGUAUGGUAGAGGUAAGUGGAAUUUCUAGUGUAGCGGUAAAAUGCGUAGAUAUUAGAAGGAACACCAGUGGCGAAGGCGGCUUACUGGACCAUUACUGACGCUGAGACACGAAAGCGUGGGGAGCAAAUAGGAUUAGAUACCCUAGUAGUCCACGCCGUAAACUAUGAGUACUAAGUGUCGGAUUUAUCCGGUGCUGAAGUUAACACAUUAAGUACUCCGCCUGGGUAGUACAGUCGCAAGGCUGAAACUUAAAGGAAUUGGCGGGGGAU